rnacentral:tRNA from 1 species
GAUUCCGUGACUGGUAGUGGUCACUGUGCUCGCGUUGCACGCGGGAGACCCGGGUUCGAUUCCCGGCGGGGUCA